AGUGAACGCUGGCGGUAGGCCUAACACAUGCAAGUCGAACGGCAGCACAGUAAGAGCUUGCUCUUACGGGUGGCGAGUCGCGGACGGGUGAGGAAUACAUCGGAAUCUACUUUUUCGUGGGGGAUAACGUAGGGAAACUUACGCUAAUAUCGCAUACGACCUACGGGUGAAAGCAGGGGAUCUUCGGACCUUGCGCGAUUGAAUGAGCCGAUGCCGGAUUAGUUAGUUGGCGGGGUAAAUGCCCACCAAGGCGACGAUCCGUAGCUGGUCUGAGAGGAUGAUCAGCCACACGGGAAGUGAGACACGGUCCAGACUCCUGCGGGAGGCAGCAGUGGGGAAUAUUGGGCAAUGGGGGCGAGCCUGAUCCAGCCAUACCGCGUGGGUGAAGAAGGCCUUCGGGUUGUAAAGCCCUUUUGUUGGGAAAAAAAAGCAGCAGUUUAAUACCCCGCUGUUCUGACGGUACCCAAAGAAUAAGCACCGGCUAACUUCGUG
rnacentral:rRNA from 1 species